rnacentral:rRNA from 1 species
UACGUAGGGUGCUAGCGUUGUCCGAAUUUAUUGGGCGUAAAGGGCUCGUAGGCGGCGUGUCGCGUCGGGGAGUGAAAGCCCGCUGCUUAACGGCGGGUUGGCUUCCGGUACGGGCAUCGCUGGAGUGCGGCAGGGGAGACUGGAAUUCCUGGUGUAGCGGUGGAAUGCGCAGAUAUCAGGAGGAACACCGGUGGCGAAGGCGGGUCUCUGGGCCGUUACUGACGCUGAGGAGCGAAAGCGUGGGGAGCGAACAGG